UGGGGAAUAUUGCACAAUGGGCGCAAGCCUGAUGCAGCCAUGCCGCGUGUGUGAAGAAGGCCUUCGGGUUGUAAAGCACUUUCAGCGAGGAGGAAGGGUAGUGUGUUAAUAGCACAUUGCAUUGACGUUACUCGCAGAAGAAGCACCGGCUAACUCCGUGCCAGCAGCCGCGGUAAUACGGAGGGUGCAAGCGUUAAUCGGAAUUACUGGGCGUAAAGAGCACGCAGGCGGUUUGUUAAGUCAGAUGUGAAAUCCCCGCGCUUAACGUGGGAACUGCAUUUGAAACUGGCAAGCUAGAGUCUUGUAGAGGGGGGUAGAAUUCCAGGUGUAGCGGUGAAAUGCGUAGAGAUCUGGAGGAAUACCGGUGGCGAAGGCGGCCCCCUGGACAAAGACUGACGCUCAGGUGCGAAAGCGUGGGGAGCAAACA
rnacentral:rRNA from 1 species